UCGGGAUUGGCGACGCCAUGCCGCGAGGCACGGCGCCGCCGAGAACUUGCUCAAACUUGAUCAUUUAGAGGAAGUAAAAGUCGUAACAAGGUUUCCGUAGGUGAACCUGCGGAAGGAUCAUUAACGAAUCCAAUCUUACCUGCCUUAGCGGUUCACUUGAUGCUGUUCUUCGGGGUCGGCCGGCCUUCGCGGUAAAACGCGCAGUCCGACCGUUAAAUCGUCAGUGGGUACGGCAGACUUCGGUUUGCUUGGCGGGCCCCGAAUUAGUUUUUUACCCACGAGUUCAAACCUCAAUGCCUUAACGUAUCGAUUCCUCGGUCGGACUCGUUCCGAACGAGAGUUGCCUAAAAGCGAACAACUUUAAACGGUGGAUCUCUUGGCUCGUGCAUCGAUGAAGAACGCAGCAAACUGCGAUAAGUAAUGUGAAUUGCAGAAUUUAGUGAAUCAUCGAAUCUUUGAACGCAAAUGGCGCUCUUGGGCAUUCCCAGGAGCACGUCUGUCUGAGCGUCGUUUCUCACAUCCCAUCUCACGGAGAUGGGGCCAUGAGGUGUCCCUUUGCUGAUGAAGCAGACGGUCCCUUGAAGUAUAGCGAUCCCGAGUUGCGCGGAUGCCUCUCGUGGCACGUGCCUCUCGGUGUGGUAGAAAUAUCUCACCGCGCGGCCGAGUUUCGUGGAGUAACGGAAGCCAUCUCUUAGAGGGACGACUGGAAAGGGUUCGAGUCUUCGGAGUCGUUCGACCAAUCAAGACCUCAGAUCAGGCGAGACUACCCGCUGAACUUAAGCAUAUCAAUAAGCGGAGGAAAAGAAACUAACCAGGAUUCCCUUAGUAAUGGCGAACGAACAGGGAACAGCUCAAAUUUUAAAUCUCGGAUGCUUGCGUCCGCGAAUUGUAGUUUCCAGAAACGUUAUCCCCGCGAGGGCGGCCGGUCUAAGUUGCUUGGAACAGCAUAUCAAAGAGGGUGAGAAUCCCGUUU
rnacentral:rRNA from 1 species